rnacentral:tRNA from 3 species
GCACCCGUAGCUCAAUCGGAUAGAGCGCCAGACUUCGGAUCUGGAGGUUGCAAGUUCGAGUCUUGCCGGGUGCACAA